UUUGGCACAUUGUCAGAUCUUGUUUUAUUUGUCUGAGAAGACUCUGAUUUAGUUUAACAGAAUAAAAUUUUAUGCUGCUUUCCCCUGGUCCUUCUUUACCUUUUUGUGCCAUAUAUAGUAUUCUUUACCUUUUUGUGUCAUAUAUAGUAACAUUCCUGAACUCUUGUCAGGAAAAUUUCUUCCAAGCAAGGAUUGACAAAGGUGUAAUCAAUAAGAACGAUCUUGGCCUUUAUGUUUUUGCUUCAAAGCCAUCAAGUGGAGCUGCUAUUUUCAAAAUUUAACAUCCGCCAUUUGUUUGCUCUUUGGCACAUUGUCAGAUCUUAUUUUAUUUGUCUGAGAAGACUCUGAUUUAGUUUAAUAGAAUAAAAUUCUAUGCUGCGUCCUCUUGGCCCUUCUUUACCUUUUUGUGCCAUAUGUAGUAACAUUCCUGAACUCUUGUCAGGAAAAUUUCUUCCAAGCAAGGAUUGACAAAGGUGUAAUCAAUAAGAAUGAUCUUGGCCUUUAUGUUUUUGCUUCAAAGCCAUCAAGUGGAGCUGCUAUUUUCAAGAUUUAACAUCCGCCAAUUGUUUGCUCUUUGGCACAUUGUCAGAUCUUGUUUUAUUUGUCUGAGAAGACUCUGAUUUAAUUUAACAGAAUAAAAUUCUAUGCUGUGUCCCCCUGGCCCUUCUUUACCUUUUUGUGCCAUAUAUAGUAACAUUCCUGAACUCGUGUCAGAAAAAUUUCUUCCAAGCAAGGAUUGACAAAGGUGUAAUCAAUAAGAACGAUCUUGGCCUUUAUGUUUUUGCUUCAAAGCCAUCAAGUGGAGCUGCUAUUUUCAAGAUUUAACAUCCGCCACUUGUUUGCUCUUUGGCACAUUGUCAGAUCUUGUUUUAUUUGUAUGAGAAUACUCUGAUUUAGUUUAACAAAAUAAAAUUCUAUGCUGCGUCCCCUGGCCCUUCUUUACCUUUUUGUGCCAUAUAUAGUAACAUUCCUGAACUCUUGUCAGGAAAAUUUCUUCCAAGCAAGGAUUGACAAAGGUGUAAUCAAUAAGAACGAUCUUGGCUUUUAUGUUUUUGCUUCAAAGCCAUCAAGUGGAGCUGCUAUUUUCAAGAUUUAACAUCCGCCAAUUGUUUGCUCUUUGGCACAUUGUCAGAUCUUGUUUUAUUUGUCUGAGAAGACUCUGAUUUAGUUUAACAGAAUAAAAUUCUAUGCUGCGUUGUAAGUAACUUUUCCAAAUUAAAUACUCAUUUAAUUCGGCAAAAAUAAAUUAACUAUCAUCUUUUUAUCUGUCCUAA
rnacentral:lncRNA from 1 species